rnacentral:misc_RNA from 1 species
AGCUUUCCAGUUGGUUUAGUUCUUUUAUUGACAUUUUUGUUCUGCAUGUGUUGUUUCUUUUCUUGUUGUCUUCACUGGGAAAAGCUCCGAUCAUUUCUUGGUUGUCCCGAUCAUCUCCACCACCACCACCACCCUCCUAUUCCGCCGCAAACCGCCCAUAAAAUUUCCCCAAUCCAUACGAUAUGGAAGGAGAAUCGGCCGCAAAGCUUGUCGGUGUUGAUGCCCGGCGAUGAGGUUCCAAGGUUUAUAGCAAUGGCAUGUCCGCCGUGUACGGCGGCGGCGUUGGUCGAAAUUGUAGUACAAAAACCUUCACAGAGUCUUCCGAAUUCUUCUCUAUAGCUCUCUCUUU